GGCUCAGAACGAACGCUGGCGGCGCGUCUUAAGCAUGCAAGUCGAGCGGUAAGAUUGGUGCUUGCACUAAUCCUAGAGCGGCGGACUGGUGAGUAACGCGUGGGUGACGUACCUCUGUGACGGGGACAGCUCCUAGAAAUAGGAGAUAAUACCGGAUACGCUGUGUGCUGUCAGAGGGCACACGGGAAAGGAUCUUUUGAUUCGCACAGAGAGCGGCCCGCGUACUAUUAGCUAGUUGGUGAGGUAACGGCCCACCAAGGCGACGAUAGUUACCCGGCCUAAGAGGGUGAUCGGGCACAUUGGGACUGAGAUACGGCCCAGACUCCUACGGGAGGCAGCAGCUAAGAAUAUUCCGCAAUGGACGAAAGUCUGACGGAGCGACGCCGCGUGGAUGAUGAAGGCCGGAAGGUUGUAAAAUCCUUUUAUGACUGAGGAAUAAGGUGGAUGAGAGAAACGUCCGCUGGUGACUGUAGGUCAUGAAUAAGCAACGGCUAAUUACGUGCCAGCCGCCGC
rnacentral:rRNA from 1 species